GUGAUCUGAGUUCAGACCGGAGUAAUCCAGGUCAGUUUCUAUCUAUAAGGAGCUUUUUUUAGUACGAAAGGACCAAAAAAGCAUGGCCCCUGUUUUCAGCAAACCAUUUCUAUUAAUUUAUGUCUAAAACUUAACUCUUACAUAGUCCUUCCCCCUGUUCAAGAAAAGAACAGUUAACGUAGCAAAACCUGGUUAUGCAAAAGAUCUAAGCCCUUUUCAUAGAGAUUCAAAUCCUCUCGUUAACUUUGAACCCAUUUCUUCUCAUCCCCCCACUGUGUUACAUAGUACCAAUUCUAUUGGCAGUUGCAUUUCUCACACUAAUUGAGCGUAAGGUGUUAGGAUAUAUACAGCACCGGAAAGGCCCUAACAUUGUUGGCCCUACGGGCCUACUCCAGCCCAUUGCUGACGGGGUCAAAUUAUUUAUUAAAGAGCCUAUUCGACCAACAACCUCGUCUCAAAUUCUCUUUCUUUUAGCUCCAGUUCUUGCUUUCACCUUAGCGAUAAUUAUCUGAACCCCUCUCCCGAUACCAACCCCCCUUUUUGAAAUAAAUCUUGGAGUACUAUUCAUUCUUGCCCUAUCAAGUUUGACAGUUUAUUCAAUCCUAGGUUCCGGAUGAGCAUCAAAUUCCAAAUACGCCCUCAUCGGUGCCCUACGAGCAGUAGCUCAAACCAUUUCUUAUGAAGUCACACUCGCAUUAAUCCUACUUUGUGUAAUUUUAAUGUCAGGUAACUUCACAUUACAAAACUUUAGCCUCGCUCAAGAACCAAUAUGAUUUAUUGUCCCCAUUUGACCGCUAGCCAUAAUAUGAUUUAUCUCAACCCUCGCCGAAACCAAUCGAGCCCCAUUUGAUCUAACUGAAAGGGAGUCUGAACUGGUGUCAGGCUUUAAUGUAGAUUACGCAGCCGGACCUUUCGCCCUCUUUUUUUUUAGCG
rnacentral:rRNA from 1 species